UGGAGAAGGAGUCAGUGAGCAACCUAUCGCUAUGUGCCUCGCUGUGGUUGGCAGAUUCCAUGGUUACAGCAAUUUCAACUGCUCUUUUAAAAAUGCAGAUUCCUGGGAUAGACAGAGAAAAAGAAUCCAGGAUGCACUCAGACUCCAUGAAAAAGUAUAACAUCCUGACCAAUUCACAUGAACACGCAAAAUGGAAGCACAGCACUUUGGAUGACAUUUGAGAAAUAUGUGCUUGUGUUUAGGGAGCACCCAGAAUCCCAGCAUAGACGGUGGAAAUAGUGCUCAACCUCUCAGACAUCUACCAACCCACUUUGUCAGCCACCUCCUGCCUCAUUUGCAACAGUCUGUGGUCCCUGUAUUGGCCUCAUUAUCCCACAUCUGAACCCACAGAACUGGAGUGGAAACAAAUCAUUCAUGACCAUAAAGGACUGUUCAAAAACAGUGCUGGUGAGCUCUGUGCCAGGUUUUGGUUUGUACAGUAUUACUUAAAAUGACUUUUAAUGAAACUCCAGAACAAAGAAAUGAAAUUACACUCUAUUGUGUAUGAAUGAACUUGUAUCAUCUGAUUUCUCCAAAGUUAAAACAAUUGUUAUGUUUUCUAUGACAACACAGAUGGCUCAAAUCAACCUACAAAGACAUGUUAUUUCGCCCCUUUGGCUACUACCUAAUUGAGUAGAUAGGAUAAACUGUGAAUUUAUGCACAGGCAGUAAGACAAUUGCUGAGCAUGUUUGAGUAUGGGCUGCUGCAGCUGAGCAAACACUGGACCUUGUUAGAGUUCAAUUCAGCAUUAUAUAUUAGAUAUUUUCAUAUCAUUGUAUCGUGAAUUAUACAUGGAGUUAAGCAUUCUUCAUAUAAUCUCAUUUAAUUUGGAGAUGCCAAGGGUUUAAAUCGUAUUGUUUUGACUUCCAGGAAAAUUUCAGUUUAAAACUCAUCUGCUUGGUUGUUGAAGGAUGAAUCCCUGGUCCUGCAAGGACAAUUUUAUACCUCAAAAAGGUGCAGUUGGAAAUUUAGAGAAAUUAUAUUAGGACAGUGGCAAAGUCUGGCAAUCCCAUUUUGCAUUAUUUUUCAAAUCAAAAGAACUUAAAAGAGUACCUGACUCUUGACCGUGGAGUGCCAACCCUAUGUGGCCAUUGCUACAUUUGGAUUUAAUUUGAUUUUAUGCAUGCCUACAAUGACAUACAAUGGUGAUUCUUUCUUUUAUUAUGUGCUGUUAAGGACACGGAUAUUAAAAGAUACAUACAUUUAAUGCAAUUUGAUUAAUUCUUACUUUCAUCACAAAUUUCCUUUUCAAAAAUUAAAUUCAUAACAUUGACAGCAAAGUCAAAGUCAAAGUGGAAGCACUUUUUAACCAUGGGAGGCUGCAGAUUCCAGUCUUGGGAAGAUUUUAUUCCCAGUCCUGUAACUUGAAAUGUUUUAUCGUAACACAAUGAUCUGGAGUAAGAUUCACACUAGAUUAAAUAGGCUAGUUUUGGUUUGGAGACUUUCAUCAUGAUAUUGUAAAUUGACUUUGAAACAAAAAACAUAAUUUCAUUCAUGACCACUUUGAAUAUACUUCAGGUUAGUCUUUCAUUUAAACAGUGAAAUGUAUCUUCUGCAAUAUUGCUUUAUGAGGUACCUAAUAUAUUGUUCACAUUCCUCCAAACCAAACAUAAACAAGCUCCUUAAACUGCAUAAUUUGAGUGAUUUAUAUUUUUAAAACAAGAAUAAUUUCAAUAAUGGUGUAGGCAUGAGAUCACCUUAUUCAAGUCAGCUGGUACUUCCUUUAUUCAUUGAAAUGGUAUAAGUAACUACAUUUUUCAGGCACAAAUCUGAAAAUAGCAGAAUUUUAUGCAACAUAACACAUAUGAUAAAAAAUGGUGCAAAUUUUCAAAACAGAAACAGCUGGCAGUAAACAAGUCAUAAACUGAAUGAUAUGCAAUGAUCUCUCCCAAAACAGAAUUUGCAUAGUUUACAGAAAGUAAUAUCACAGCUAGCAUCAUUAAUCCAUUAUAGGCAAAUACAUGCUGCAGCAAAUACAACAGUUCUGUGCGAGCAGUCAGCCAUGCAAAAUAGCAACUUAUGUUUUUUUCAUACAGGAAGAAACAAUAAUGAAUUUUAAUUUAAACAAGGUACGAAUGACAUCUUAUGUUUCUGCAUUUGUUUACAAUUAAGGACAAAUUUGUUGUAGAAUUUCACCAUUGCUUUACAGCUGGUUUUGAAAUUUAUUUUUACUUACUGAGUGUAACGUUUGUAUAUUUAAAUGCCAAUGUUUUAUCGAUGGUUUUCUAUUUUUCUCAAUUACACAAAGUUUAAAGAAACAACCGUUAACAAAAUUAUGUUAGUCACCUUCAUUAAAAAUUGUAGUCUCCUGCCUGAGAUGUAAAACAAACUAAGUGUCUGGAAACUACUAAAAAAACUACUAAAAACUAUUAACUUGGGUUCCGAGUAUAAGCAAUGGACAUAUUUUAGAUGUGUUAAAAUAUAUGGUUUAAGUAAAUCUGGAAUUCUAUAUGAACGCAUGGUUAUAAACAGAAAGAGUAUUUUUUAAAAUGUAAAUGUGUCAGCACUUCACAAUUGCAAAUGAAUCUGCACAUUCACAGAGUGAGUAAUGAAUGACAUUAACCUGCCUACUUGCAUUUUUCUGACAUGACAGUGCCGUUGUGGACGAAGCUUAGUUUCUGCUGCUUCAA